GCACAAUGGGCGCAAGCCUGAUGCAGCCAUGCCGCGUGUAUGAAGAAGGCCUUCGGGUUGUAAAGUACUUUCAGCAGUGAGGAAGGUGGGUACUGUUAAUAGCAUACUCAUUUGACGUUAGCUGCAGAAGAAGCACCGGCUAACUCCGUGCCAGCAGCCGACGGUAAUACGGAGGGUGCGAGCGUUAAUCGGAAUUACUGGGCGUAAAGCGCAUGCAGGUGGUUUGUUAAGUCAGAUGUGAAAGGCCCGGGGCUCAACCUCGGAAUUGCAUUUGAAACUGGACAAACUAGAGUACUGUAGAGGGGGUAGAAUUUCAGGUGUAGCGGUGAAAUGCGUAGAGAUCUGAAGGAAUACCGGUGGCGAAGGCGGCCCCCUGGACAGAUACUGACACUCAGAUGCGAAAGCGUGGGGAGCAAACAGGAUUAGAUACCCUGGUAG
rnacentral:rRNA from 1 species